CCUCCCUGCAUGUGACUUGCACAGCCUUCCAUAAACACUUCCUGUAAAGAGAGCCCUAUUUAGGCUUUCUUUGUUGCAAGUUCAGUUUAAUUAAGAUUUUCUUAUCCCCUGCUAUGUUAAUAGCUUGCUAGACCCUGCAAGAGCCCCCUGUAUGUGAUUAAAGUUCAAUUUAGAGAUUGAGAUACAAUUAUUUAAGGUAAAUUACAUCUGUUUGAAAGUGAAACCAGUUUUGUUUUUUUUCAUGCAGGCUCUGUCAGUCAUAGCCAGGGGAGGUGUGGCUAUGGCUGCAUAAACAGAAACAAAGUGAUUUAACUCCUAAAUGACAGUGAAUUGAGCAGUGACAUUGCAGGGGAAUGAUCUAUACACUAAAAC